rnacentral:rRNA from 1 species
GACGUGAGGGUGCGAGCGUUGUCCGGAUUUAUUGGGCGUAAAGAGCUCGUAGGCGGUUCGGUAAGUCGGGUGUGAAACCUCCAGGCUCAACCUGGAGGCGCCACCUGAUACUGCUGUGACUAGAGUCCGGUAGGGGAGCGCGGAAUUCCUAGUGUAGCGGUGAAAUGCGCAGAUAUUAGGAGGAACACCAGCGGCGGAAGGCGGCGCUCUGGGCCGGAACUGACGCUGAGGAGCGAAAGCGUGGGGAGCAAACAGG